GCUGGGUGCAGUGAUGCCCACCUGUAGUCCCAGAUACUCAGGAGGAUCGCUUGAGCCCUGGAGUUCUGGGCUGUAGUACGCUAUACCCAUUGGGUUCUGCACCAAGUUUGGCAUCAAUGUGGUGAUCUUCUGGGAGUGGGGACCACCAGGUGGCCUAAGGAGGGGUGAACUGUCCCAGGUCAGAAACGGAGCAGGUCAAAACUCCCAUGCUGAUAAGUAGUAGGAUCACACCUGUGAAUAGCCACUGUACUCCAACCCAAGAGGCGGAGGUU
ensembl:misc_RNA Metazoa_SRP Metazoan signal recognition particle RNA